rnacentral:rRNA from 1 species
GACGAACGCUGGCGGCGUGCUUAACACAUGCAAGUCGAACGGAAAGGCCCUGCUUUUGUGGGGUGCUCGAGUGGCGAAAGGGUGAGUAACACGUGAGUAACCUGCCCUUGACGUUGGGAUAACUUCAGGAAACUGGGGCUAAUACCGGAUAGGAGCUCCUGCUGCGUGGUGGGGGGUGGAAAGUUUCGGCGGUUGGGGAUGGACUGGGGGAUUAUCAGCUUGUUGGUGGGGUAGUGGCUUACGAAGGCUUUGACGGGUAGCCGGCCGGAGAGGGUGACCGGCCACAUUGGGACUGCGAUACGGCCCAGAAUCCUACGGGAGGAAGCAGUGGGGAAUAUUGCACAAUGGGCGGAAGCCUGAUGCAGCAACGCCGCGUGCGGGAUGACGGCCUUCGGGUGGUAAACCGCUUUCGCCUGGGACGAAGCGUGAGUGACGGUAAUGGGUAAAGAAGCACCGGCUAACUACGUG